CUAUAAAAUUAAGCCGAUGCCCCAAUUCCUUCCAGAUAGAGUGAGGGGAGAAGCAGAGAAAACGGGCGUCGCAGAAGCCAAAUUUUCCGCACUCUGGCUCUUACUCUCUGUUCGCCGUUAUUUCUUCGAUUUUCCCGUUGAAUUCGAAUUGAGAGCGACUUUAGAUGAGUCGUUUAGGGUUUAAAUCCGCGGUCUAUCACGGGGACAUCUGGUUGGGAGAGCUUGAUAUUGUUCCCAUGAAGGACCAGAAUUUCCAGUUCCCGAACAACGAGAUUCGAAUUCAUCACAUAUCCCAGAUCAGCGACCGAUGUCCUCCUCUUUCAAUUCUACAGACAAUUUCUUCGUUCUCUGUUCGAUGCAAGCUGGAGUACUCGUCGCCUCAGGAACAGAAGCAGUUGAUCGAUCUCAAUGCGUCUUGCUUUCAUGAAUUGAAGACGGCGGUUGUGUUACUUGGAGACGAGGAGAUCCAUUUAGUUGCAAUGCCGAGUAAGCAGCAGAAGUUUCCGUGCUUUUGGUGCUGUGCCGUGCCCGCAGGUCUGUACAAUUCUUGCUUGAGGAUGCUGAAUAUGCGGUGCCUUGCAAUUGUAUUUGAUCUUGAUGAGACGCUUAUAGUAGCGAAUACCAUGAAGUCCUUUGAGGACAGGAUCGAAGCUCUACGAGGGUGGAUUGCACGUGAAACUGAUCCGAUGAGGUUAACAGGGAUGUCAGCUGAGAUGAGACGCUACAUGGAAGAUCGAGCGCUGUUGAAGCAGUACACUGAGAACAACUGUGUUGUGGAUAAUGGAAGGGUGUUUAAGGUUCAGCUCGAAGAGGUUCCUCCACUCCCCGAUGGCCAUGGGAAGAUUGUCCGGCCGGUCAUUCGAUUGCCGGAGAGGGGUAUUGUACUUACUCGUAUCAGUCCUGAGAUUCGUGACACCAGUGUGCUUGUGAAGUUACGACCAGCGUGGGAAGAUUUGAGAAGUUAUUUGACUGCAAAAGGACGGAAAAGGUUUGAAGUUUAUGUUUGCACUAUGGCCGAAAGAGAUUAUGCCUUGGAAAUGUGGAGGCUUCUUGACCCAGAAGCACACCUCAUAAAUUCAAAUAAACUUAUGGACCGUGUUGUUUGUGUAAAAUCAGGCUCGAGGAAAUCUUUGCUAAAUGUCUUCCAAGAUGGCACGUGUCAUCCAAACAUGGCUAUGGUGAUUGAUGACCGUUCUAAGGUUUGGGAAGACAAAGAUCAACCCCGAGUUCAUGUUGUUCCAGCAUUUACUCCGUACUAUGCUCCUCAGGCAGAGACAGCAAAUGCUGUUCCAGUGCUCUGUGUGGCAAGAAAUGUUGCAUGUAAUGUCAGAGGUUAUUUUUUCAAGGAGUUUGAUGAGAUCUUACUGAGAAGGAUCUCUGAAGUUUUCUAUGAAGAUGAGGUAAUCAGUUUACCUCCUGCUCUGGAUGUGAGCAGCUUUCUGGUGUCAGAGGAUGCAAGUUUUGUUCCUAACGGAAAUGGUAAUGCUCCUAUCAGUGAGGGUGUGAAUGGUCCAGAAGUUGAUCGGAGGUUAAACCAGUUGGAUGAGAAGUGCAUUAUGGAACCACUUACACAAUCUACGACAAAUAAUCCUGAAUUGAGAUCUGAAACCUCUCAGCCAGCUGUCGCAGUUAUUCCAAAUGUUGUUGGCACUGCAUCAUCAACUGCACUCUUUCCAUCUCAGAAACCAAGUUUGCUCGGACCUCUAAUUAAGGAGACUGACAAUGAAACAAAGAGAAGACUCUCUGCCAUGAAGCAUGGUGUGGAUUUGAGAAGUCAAGCUUCAGGUCAACCUCCUCUGCUAUCUAGGUUGCCUGCACGAGUAUCAUCCUCUAACCAGCCACAUAAGGGCCGGUUGGAAGAAGAUGCCAGCAGAGCGCAGCUUGACAAUCGGCCUUCAGGAUUUGUUCAAGAAUCAAAGCCGCGAAUUCCUCAGAAUCCAUUUGGUCCAAGUGCAGCUUCUACUUCAAUUGGUUUGCCCUUGAAGGUGUCCCAAGUGAAGGGUGAAGAGGCAGGUGCUGGACAUGAAAUGCCCAAACAAGGUCUUCCUCAUGCAAGUCAGCUAUCAGAAGUUGGAGUAUCUCAGAACCACGUGUCUACUAAUCAUAGAGAAGUCCAGAAUGAAGCUUUAAAGUCUAAUAUCUCUCUAUCCCAUUCAUCUAUUGGAGUUUUACUUGAAAUUGGACGAAGAUGCAGCUCAAAGGUUGAAUUUAGGACUGUUUUAAGCACCAGUAAGGAUCUGGAAUUUACUGUUGAGGUUUUGUUUACUGGUGAAAAGAUAGGAGUAGGAAUGGGCAAGACAAGAAAGGAUGCUCAACAACAAGCAGCUGAGCAUGCCCUUCACAGCUUGGCAGAAAAAUAUGUUGCAUAUAUCAAACCUCAAUCUGGAGCUGUUGACAAAGAUUUCAAUAAGCUCUCAUCUGGAAACCAAAAUGGAUUUCUAUGGGACACUGUCAAUCCUGGAUCUUAUGAACAUGAUGGGUCGCUCGAUGAAGGUACUCCUGAGAUGAGAAGUUGUCUGGUUAUCUGGAAAGAGAGCACUCCUUUUUGAAAUUUGCAUCGCACCAAGAUGUGAGAGCUAGAACACUGAAAGGGGAGUUAACUGGCUUCAUGUCCACUACUGCCGCCUUUACAGGCUCCUUUCACUCCUUUUUUAAGAGACAACUGAAGUUGAAACUGGGAGUACUUCCUCCAAUUUGGUCAAUCGACAAGUCCAGAAGCGUGCGAAUUCUCCUAGAUUGUCGGAAUCUAUUCCUAGUAAACGAUUCAAGGAAGAAGUAGCGCAUGCUCCACAAAGCCUAUCCUAGUCAUAGAAGCAUGCACUUUUUUGUCCUGAUCGAUCGGAUAAACAGAAUGAUGGGCAUCGUGUUUCAUGAAAGACCAUUUGAAACCUCCAAUUUGGCGCCUUAAGCGUGCAGUAUCAUUUUGUUGUAGAAAAAGUUGGAUUCGGCUUAUGCAGACUACAGAGGUAAAAAUUUCCAUCAUCCUUCUUUUUUAACCUUCAAAAGGGAAUAUGGGCUAUAUUUUUUUUUUCGUCAUUGCCCUAGUUUACUUUAGAAUUUAGAUUGGCAGAUUUCAGAAUACAGCAGUCCAUUUUGUACUCAUCCUUUGUUAUAGAAGCCCAUUUGAUCUUCAGUUGAUCAGCUUUUGAUUCAAUUGAAAUUGCAUUUGCUGCUA